GUGGGGAAUAUUGGGCAAUGGGCGAAAGCCUGACCCAGCAACGCCGCGUGAAGGAAGAAGGUUUUCGGAUCGUAAACUUCUAUCCUUGGUGAAGAUAAUGACGGUAGCCAAGAAGGAAGCCCCGGCUAACUACGUGCCAGCAGCCGCGGUAAUACGUAGGGGGCAAGCGUUGUCCGGAAUGAUUGGGCGUAAAGGGCGCGUAGGCGGCCCGGUAAGUCUGAAGUGAAAAUCCUGCUUUUAAGGUGGGAAUUGCUUUGGAUACUGUCGGGCUUGAGUGCAGGAGAGGUAAGCGGAAUUCCCGGUGUAGCGGUGAAAUGCGUAGAGAUCGGGAGGAACACCAGUGGCGAAGGCGGCUUACUGGACUGUAACUGACGCUGAGGCGCGAAAGUGUGGGGAGCAAACAGGAUUAGAUACCCGGGUAGUCC
rnacentral:rRNA from 1 species